CGGUAAUUCCAGCUCCAAUAGCGUAUAUUAAAAUUGUUGCAGUUAAAAAGCUCGUAGUUGAAUUUCUGCUAAAAAUAACCGGUCUGCUUUUAAUAAAGGUGGUAUCUUGGUGUGUUUUUAGCAAUAAUGUCCUUUGAAAUGUUUUUUACUUCAUUGUAAUAAAUUAUAUUUAGGAUUUUUACUUUGAGAAAAUUAGAGUGUUUCUAGCAGGCUAAUGCUUUGAAUACUGCAGCAUGGAAUAAUAAAAUAGGAUUUUGGUUCUACAUUAUUGGUUUUAAGAGCUAAAUUAAUGAUUGAUAGGGACAGUUGGGGGCAUUUGUAUUUAACUGUCAGAGGUGAAAUUCUUA
rnacentral:rRNA from 1 species